rnacentral:tRNA from 1 species
GCAAAUAUAUGUUAAAGGUAGACUCAGUGCCUUCCAAGCAUUCAGUGCUCGUUCGAUUCGAGUUAUUUGCA